AUAUCUUUUCCAUCAUACCACGAUACAUUUCAGAUCCAAUGCCAUACAUUUUAUAAGAUUUUAGACUGCAUGAUAUCAAGGAUAUACACAUAUCAAGAUGAGAGCCAGACGAUUUAUAUAGCUGGGUAGCAGGUACAUGCUUCAACUUUAAUUUUUACGUGGUGGAUUUGUUGGUUCUUGUUCUCUAGUCAGAUGGAGUAAAAUUAUUCCCGAAAGAACUGUGAUAAAUCCACAGAUAUCAGAUACGAUACUACUACAUCUUGCCCAGUCCAGUCCUUGAACAUUAUUGUGCUUGCGAU
rnacentral:misc_RNA from 1 species